CCUACGGGUGGCAGCAGUGAGGAAUAUUGGUCAAUGGCCGAGAGGCUGAACCAGCCAAGUCGCGUGAGGGAAGAAUGUCCUAUGGAUUGUAAACCUCUUUUGUCAGGGAGCAAAGUCACCCACGUGUGGGUGUUGGAGAGUACCUGAAGAAAAAGCAUCGGCUAACUCCGUGCCAGCAGCCGCGGUAAUACGGAGGAUGCGAGCGUUAUCCGGAUUUAUUGGGUUUAAAGGGUGCGUAGGCGGGUUAUAAAGUCAGCGGUAAAAUCGUGGAGCUCAACUCCAUCCAGCCGUUGACACUGAUGAUCUUGAGUGGGCGUGAAGUAUGCGGAAGGCGUGGUGUAGCGGUGAAAUGCGUAGAGAUACGGAGGAACACCAGUGGCGAAGGCGGAUUGCUGGACAGUAACUGACGCUGAGGCGCGAAAGCGUGGGGAGCAAACAGGAUUAGAUACCCCAGUAGUC
rnacentral:rRNA from 1 species